AAGAAAAAUAUCAUUGCUGUGUCUGAGAAACAACUGAUGGGGUGGGGAGACAUCACUUCCUGUCACUUGUCAUGACUUUUGUCUCAGUGUUGCUAGCAGGUGUUAAGCUGCUUUCCGUCAGUACUAAGUACAGUAUGUGCUGAAUGUCACCACGAUGAUAAUGUUCACUGUAUUCUUUGUCAUGUUGCCAGGUCUUGUACAAAGUCAGAAAGUGGACCAGUCUCCUCCAGACCUGAUAAGAAAGCUCACAGAAUCUGCUGUUCUCACUUGCUCACAUUCAGACCAAGGCUUUGAACUCAUCCUUUGGUAUAAACGAUCUGAUGAUAAGGGAUUAAUUUUUCUAGGUUAUCUCAAUACUAUGUUUGCAUAUCCCGAAGAUGUGUUUAAACAGAAAAUCGACCUGGCUGGAGAUGGCAGAAGUAAAGCCACACUUACAAUAAAAAAUCUGACAGAAGACAGCAGCGGAGUCUAUUACUGUGCAGCUCGGAGACACAGUGUGAUAAAUCCCCACAACCCAGCGCAAAAACAUCCUUAUCACAUAUUAAUAUCUGUAGUGUGCACUAAAAGAGGUGAUGCUGUUCACCUGCAACAAGCCACUAAACCUAUAUUUUACUGUGACAGUAACAAAACAAACCACUUCUCUGCCCUUCCAUGUUUAUACAAGGUUAGUUAUUGUGACAAGGAGAUUAUAAUGUCAAGGAGGUCUAUAUACGGAGAUGACUAUUCAUAAGCAUUCCAUCUUAUCUCUUUGAAACUUCAUAUCAACCCAUUUCACCCCCAUAAGCUUUCCAUCAGUAGGGAACUGAUAUAUUAUCUAUGAUAAUAUAAUUAAAUAUUUGCAAUACAAAGGUGCAAUGGCUGUCAAUUAAGAAAAGAACCUUGUAGUAACAACAUCUACCAGCAGGGGCUAGUGUGUCAUGCUAAAUAACAGCUCAUAGAAGAGUUGUAUGUUCUUCAUAAAUGUAUGCACAUCCACAGCAUGUCAGUGAUAUUGUGGUGCUGUCCUUUAUUUAUAUUUCUUCGGUGUUGAGUGUCAACAUGAGAGUUGUCAUCAUAUUUACUGUUAUGCUAAUCAGUAAUAUUUAUGUAAUUAAUUAAUUUAGUAGUUUAUCUAUUUGUUUAUGUAAAGUAAUUAAAUUUCUGGGUUUUUCAAAAAAGUGAUUCUUCUUUUGCCAGGCUUUUCUUUUAGUUACAAGGUCGACCAGUCUCCAGCUGAAGUAAUUAAGAGACGAGGAGAAUCUGCAGAGAUCCGGUGUUCACACAGUGUGCCCAGUUACAAUCAAAUCAGCUUGUACAGGCAAAACCAGGACCAAGGGUUCACACUCAUGGGAUAUUUGUAUGCAACAUCAAACAUCAGUGAAAAAGAAUUCAUGGAUAAAAUAGUCAUGUCUGGGAAUGGAGACAGCAAAGGUCUUUUUACUAUCAAAAACCUUGCAUCUAGUGACAGUGCAGUGUAUUUUUGUGCUGCGUGUUACACAAUGUUUUAAUCCCUGACGUUCAUUACAAAAACUUCUCUUUAAUGCUGUGAUUAACAGAUAAAACAAAAUGAAAUAAAGACUUCAUUCACACCUGCUCCUGUGGUUUAUAUUUGAGACUUAUCUGUGAGAGUUUUCAAUGAGAAACACAUCAUAUACGCAUACACGUAAGUGAGAAAAUGUGAAUUAUUGGGUUCAGCUAAAGUGGUUUAGUUUUUAUACAGUAAUUAAGACAAAAGUUCACAAACAGUAGAUGUAUCAUGUCUGUAUGUUACUUUCUAAUAUAACAGGUAUGUCUGUGGAUAUCGAAGGCCAGAUGGAGG
ensembl:lncRNA